GCCUGGUUGGCUUAGUUGGUGGAGCAUGUGACUCUUGAUCUCAGGGUUGUAAGUUCAAGCCCCACAUUGGGUG
rfam:Ailuropoda melanoleuca scaffold1761_30, whole genome shotgun sequence.